UCACCAAACACCAACUGAUCACCUAAGUACACUAUGUAUACAAACCCUCGUGGUUUCUACUUUUAAAGAGCACAAAUAAAACUGUGAAGACAUACCUGGGUACAAGUACCUAGAAUAAGGAGGUAUUUGCUAAGUCUCAUAAAAGGUGAAAAAAAAUUGCAUGGAUGUUUACAACAUGUAGAGGUCUCUUUCAGAGGAGAAAUACCUGUGCAAACUAGGUGGCAUUUUCAUCGGAAUGUGUAAAACAGUGAGCAAACAUGAAGUUUGGAAAGCACAAAGCAAAAAGCUUCUGGGGAGAAGUGAGAGAUAAAACUGGAAAGGUAUUUUGGGGCCAUAUCUGGAGCAGGGCUUGAAUCCUAAAAAGAGUUAAAAAUGAUUGGAAAAGGGGCUGUGUGGGAUGAGCAGUGAGUCAGCAAGAGAUGAAUAAAAGAAGUGCUGAGCAGAAAGGACAGCUCAGUUAAAGUGAACAAGCAUAAAUUUGUGGCAGACUCAAUCAGUGCAGCUUUCUCUAGCAGCACUCUUCAGCCUAGCUAGGAAAUAUUUAGAAGUUCAAGGUCCAUGGGAAAUUUUAGGCAAUAAGUGAAGGCACUGCUGAGUCGGCUGACCAUGAAAACAAGCUAGACGGAAGAAAUAAAGUUGGAAGUUAACAGACAAGAAGAAAAAGAGCAGAGUCAGGGUUGUGAUGAGAAGGAAGACCAGGAUUAGUAUGAGAAAGAAAUUUAGAAUGGCUGACAUUAAAGAGAUUGUGGAAGAGGCAAGAUACUCAGAAUUGGAGAUUCAUAGAUGAUGAGAUCCAAGGAUGGAGAGGAGUUGGGGAUCAUUGGUGUCAAGGAGGCUUGUGGACUCUUGCUCAUCUACCAAACAAAGAUGUUUGAUGAAAUGUUCCCUUCUGCUAUGGGGUGAUUCCAGCAGGAAGAGGCAGACUCCUAAGCAGCAUAGUCUCACUCAGAGCUGUCACUUGUGGCUGAGCCAUCACAGAACACUGUUUGACUUCUCCCGGCCUUUUGAAAUCUUACUGUCUGCAAGGAGUCUUACAAUACAAGGCUUCCUUACUCUGUGGCUGAACUCAGCACCCAAUCUAUGUAGCCCAGCUAUCAGCUUCUCAGGGUCCUAAUGAGAAACAAACGAGGAAAUCAAACACUCGAGCGUUGACCAAACAGACCAGAAUCUGGAAUUACUCUGAAUCUUUACAAGUGUUUAGAACCACUUCACUGGUGAUGUGAAUUUGUCAUCCUGUAUCAAACGUCUGGGGACACUGUCGGCCAGUAAAGCUCCACUCAGAUCUCAGAGAAGAAAGGAAAGGUCAAUCUUUCAAGGAAAAUUUAGGAACAUAUUUAGAAACAAGGAAUAGUUCCACACUAGGAAAUACAUAGAUGUAUUACUCAUACAAAAAGUAAAUUUAAAUCCCCUACUACAUACUUGUAAGUUUAUACAUGCUGAUCAUCAACCAGCAUCUUUCGCGAGUCUCUUCUAUUGAACUCACUACAAAUAAAUAAGCUGAAGGGCAACUUCUGAAAGACUGU
rnacentral:lncRNA from 13 species